GAUGAACGCUGGCGGCGUGCCUAAUACAUGCAAGUCGCGCGAACAGACGAGGAGCUUGCUCCUCUGACGUUAGCGGCGGACGGGUGAGUAACACGUGGAUAACCUACCUAUAAGACUGGGAUAACUUCGGGAAACCGGAGCUAAUACCGGAUAAUAUAUUGAACCGCAUGGUUCAAUAGUGAAAGACGGUUUUGCUGUCACUUAUAGAUGGAUCCGCGCCGCAUUAGCUAGUUGGUAAGGUAACGGCUUACCAAGGCAACGAUGCGUAGCCGACCUGAGAGGGUGAUCGGCCACACUGGAACUGAGACACGGUCCAGACUCCUACGGGAGGCAGCAGUAGGGAAUCUUCCGCAAUGGGCGAAAGCCUGACGGAGCAACGCCGCGUGAAUGAUGAAGGUCUUCGGAUCGUAAAACUCUGUUAUUAGGGAAGAACAAAUGUGUAAGUAACUAUGCACGUCUUGACGGUACCUAAUCAGAAAGCCACGGCUAACUACGUG
rnacentral:rRNA from 1 species